rnacentral:lncRNA from 1 species
CAUUAGGAAUCAAGAAAUCUUAUAGCCAUAGUAUGGCAUUACCAUCUGCCAUGCUUGCUGCAGACAGAAGAUUGGACGUCAUUAAGAAAACUAGUGUUGCAGUUAAAGGGCGUGAAGACUAGGAUUGUUUUCCUUCAUAAUAGAUGAUACCAUGUGCUUAGCAGAACGGCGACGGGUGCAUAAAGAAGACAAAAUUAUGCAUGAUUAAAGCAAGUUCAUUUGAGAUUGAAUGGAAGAAAAUAAACAACACUAUAAAAGGGGUUUUUUAAGGGUACCUUUGAAUGGAUAUGAACCAUCCAUUUGUUUCGAUCUAAUAUACCACAAUCACCUAUAAUACACCCAAUUAAGUGUGUAGUGUAUUGGUGGAAGGG